UUUUUUUUUGAAAAUAAUGACUUUUAACUUGCUUAACAGAGAAGAUUAGCAUUGCCCCUUGUCAAGGAUGAAAUGCGAAAAUCGAUCCAAAUCUAUUUUAUUU